rnacentral:misc_RNA from 1 species
GAUGAAGAACGCAGCGAAAUGCGAUACUUGGUGUGAAUUGCAGAAUCCCGUGAACCAUCGAGUCUUUGAACGCAAGUUGCGCCCGAAGCCACUAGGCCGAGGGCACGCCUGCCUGGGCGUCACGUCGUUGCCCCCCCAUCUACUCCUUCGGGAUUGCGGGGGGGCGGAUGAUGGCCUCCCGUGCGCCUAGCCGCGCGGUUGGCAUAAAUACCAAGUCCUCGGCGACGCACGCCACGACAAUCGGUGGUUGCGAAACCUCGGUUGCCCGUCGUGUGCGUUCGUCGCGCAUCGAGGGCUCGAAAAAAUGCUCGGCUCCGGCUGGGCUUUCAACGCGACCCCAGGUCAGGCGGGGUUACCCGCUGAAUUUAAGCAUAUCAAUAAGCGGAGGA